UACGAAGGGGGCUAGCGUUGCUCGGAAUGACUGGGCGUAAAGGGCGCGUAGGUGGUUUGUUAAGUCUGUUGUGAAAGCCCCGGGCUCAACCUGGGAAUGGCAAUGGAUACUGGCAGGCUAGAGUGCGGUAGAGGGUAGUGGAAUUCCCGGUGUAGCGGUGAAAUGCGUAGAGAUCGGGAGGAACACCAGUGGCGAAGGCGGCUACCUGGACCAGCACUGACACUGAGGCACGAAAGCGUGGGGAGCAAACAGG
rnacentral:rRNA from 1 species